rnacentral:rRNA from 1 species
GAGCGCACUCUUUUAGAGUGAGCGGCAAACGGGUGAGUAACGCGUGGGAAUCUACCCAUCUCUACGGAAUAACACAGAGAAAUUUGUAGCUAAUACCGUAUACGUCCUAUAGGGAGAAAGAUUUUAUCGGAGAUGGAUGAGCCCGCGUUUGGAUUAGCUAGUUGGUGAGUAACGGCUCACCAAGGCGACGAUCCAUAGCUGGUCUGAGAGGAUGAUCAGCCACACUGGGACUGAGACACGGCCCAGA